rnacentral:tRNA from 1 species
UCCUUUGUAGCUCAGUUGGUCAAGUAUCUGCCUGCAAUGCAGGAGACCCAGGUUCAAUUCUUGGGUCAGGAA